rnacentral:rRNA from 1 species
UCCGAUGACGUUCGGUGAGGAAUAAGCCCCGGUCAAUUACAUGCCAGCAGUCGCGGUACCUCGUAUGGGGCGACCGUUGUUCGGAAUCAUUGCGCGUAAAUGGCGCGCAGGCGGUUACAUACGCCUGGUGUGAAAGGCUACGGCUCAACUGUAGUUUCGCGCUGGGAACUGUUUGACUAGAGUUCUGGAGGGGAAGCUGGAAUUCCUGGUGUAGGGGUGAAAUCUGUAGAUAUCAGGAAGAACACCGGUGGCGAAGGCGAGCUUCUAGCCAAGAACUGACGCUGAGGCGCGAGAGCUUGAGGAACGAACGGGAUUAGAUACCCUGCUAGUACACAUUGUAAACGAUCUGCACUGCAUGUUGGCCCCUGAGGGUCAGUGCGGUAGUUGACGCGAUAAGUGCACCACCUGGGGAGUAUGCUCGCAAGGGUGAAACUCAAAGGAAUUGGCGGGGCCCCGCACAAGCGCUGGAGCAUCUGGUUUAAUUCGAUGAUACGCCGAGAAACCGUACCAGGGCUUGACAUAUACCAGACGUUACGAGAGA